UCUCAGCCAGGCGUGAUCUUGGGGACAUUUGUCCUUGCUACAACGGGGGCUGGUGCUCGCUCCUAGCAUCUAUUGGGUAGAAGUCAGGAACUGCUCAGUUUAGGACAGCUUUCUGCAACAAGGAAAUAUCCAGUCCAAACUGUUAAUGGGCCGCUGUUGAGAAGCCCUGUUCCUGGCCAUUACCGCUUUUUUUUAAAAAGUGGCCCGCCUUAAAGCUGAUGCCUUUCUAUAACUGACUGCCCCUCCGUGGUUCAGCAUCUACACAGCCCCACGUCCCUCCUCGUUCCUUGAAGAUUUUAGCACCCAGCUUGUUGCCGCUGCAGAACCAGAGUAAUUCAGUAUCCACACAGCCUUCUUAAUUCCAUGACCCGUUCUCUGUUCUUGUUCCCCCUACCUCAGCCAUACAGUCGGUCACCCCCCGGACCUGGCUGGAUUCCAACUGCACCGUCUGCAGAGUUUGAAUUUCCAGCCUCCUACGACCACAAGCUCCCAUCUCUCUGGCUCACCCGCUGUUUCUGCUCCUGUGUCAAACAUCGCAUCGGAGCGGUCUCUAGCUACCUUGGAUAAGAUAGCAUCUCCCCACCCCAGGACUCUGUAUCACCCUUAUUCGGCUUCCUCACCACCUCACACACAUACUCUACUUGUUUAAUGUCUGUUCUCUCAUAUGACACUCGGCUCUGUGAAGACAGGGACUUGACAUUAUCGAUUAUAUUGUCCCCAUGUAGGACAGUUCCUGGCACACAGGAGAGGCUUAAUCAUUUUGUUGAAUAAAUAAAGGUAUCAUUUGGUACA